UGGGGAAUCUUGCACAAUGGGCGAAAGCCUGAUGCAGCAACGCCGUGUGAGCGAGGAAGGCCUUAGGGUCGUAAAGCUCUGUUGUUGGGGACGAAGGGCGAAGGGUUAAUAGCCUCUAGCCUGACGGUACCCUUCGAGGAAGCCCCGGCUAACUACGUGCCAGCAGCCGCGGUAAUACGGAGGGUCCAAGCGUUGUCCGAAAUUACUGGGUGUAAAGGGUGUGCAGGCGGAGCGGAAAGUCAGAGGUGAAAGCCCGCAGCUUAACUGCGGAAUUGCCUUUGAUACUACCGUUCUUGAGUCCCGGAGAAGCUAUCGGAAUUCGUGGUGUAGCGGUGAAAUGCGUAGAUAUCACGAGGAACACCAGAAGCGUAAGCGGAUAGCUGGACGGUGACUGACGCUCAGGCACGAAAGCGUGGGGAGCAAACAGGAUUAGAUACCCGCGUAGUCC
rnacentral:rRNA from 1 species